CAGCCACUCAGGAAAACAGCAACGACAACAACAUUCGCCCUUCGUUUCCAACUGUGCGUGUUAGGAAGACAACAAGGUUCAUCGUUUCCCCACACAAACUAUCAUGACUCUCAUCCUGCGUGACAAUCCUUAACACUUUUGGUGUGCCGUGAAUGGCAAAAACAAAACUUGGAUUGAGCUUUCCUGUACGAGUGACGUUCCUGUUUGGUUUCUCGCGUUGCAACUUCUCUCUCGUCACUACAACCGUAAAGCUCCAACUUUACAAGACGUGGUCAGAUCCAAACUUGAGUAUGCCGGCUCAAUUUGAAAUCCCGGCAAGGUAACAUCACCAAACCCUUCUAGAACGUCACCCUACAACAGCUUUUGGCUGCAAUUUACGGCGACUGUGAGAGUGCCGCUUUGUCGACGCUGCAUCAUAAUGACCCGCCUACAAUUCUCCGUGCGCUCCGGCUUUAGACUGCUCGCGAAAGGAAUGAGCGCAUGUCUGGAAUGCAACAAGGAAGCAUGUGGGAGGCUUAGACGAAAGCGGCUUCUGCCUUGAGAAAAUGGAGGACCCAUGUUUGGCUGCUCAUGAGGGCUCCUAUCUCUCACCUUUUUACAGUCGCCUGUAACGUUUUGAAGAAAUAUUGUCGGACAGGUGAUAGCAGCGACGCCGUGCGAAGGUCAUUCCAAUCAGAUGCUGCGCGUGGAAAAAAGGAGGCGGAUGAUGCAGCAGUCCGGCUGCGUGGCCGCGUGACUUGAACGGCAUGACCGGUACGAUGAUAUGCUCGUGCUGGCGGAAUGUUGAAGCUUCGGCGGCCUCGAGGGCUGUAAUGAAACUUAUGGAUCAGGGCUACAUAUGCCAUGCGGGGGGAACGAUGUGCAAGAGACAAUAGACAUUAUUCUGCUUUUAAGGAUGAUGCAUUGGUAUAAUAUGAAUAAGAUGAAUAAAUCAAUAGGGCUGCUCAA